UACGGAGGGAGCUAGCGUUGUUCGGAAUUACUGGGCGUAAAGCGCGCGUAGGGCGCUUGUAAGUUAGAGGUGAAAGCCCGGGGCUCAACCCCGGAAUUGCCUUUAAGACUGCAUCGCUUGAAUCCGGGAGAGGUGAGUGGAAUUCCGAGUGUAGAGGUGAAAUUCGUAGAUAUUCGGAAGAACACCAGUGGCGAAGGCGGCUCACUGGACCGGCAUUGACGCUGAGGUGCGAAAGCGUGGGGAGCAAACAGG
rnacentral:rRNA from 1 species